rnacentral:rRNA from 1 species
CGUAAUAGCUCACUGGUCGAGUAGACUCUGCGCCGAAAAUGUACCGGGGCUAAACGUGCCGCCGAAGCUGCGGGAUGACCGUUGGUCAUCGGUAGGGGAGCGUUCUAAGGGCGUUGAAGCCAGACCGGAAGGACUGGUGGAGCGCUUAGAAGUGAGAAUGCCGGUGUGAGUAGCGAAAACAGAGGUGAGAAUCCUCUGCACCGAAAGCCUAAGGGUUCCUGAGGAAGGUUCGUCCGCUCAGGGUUAGUCGGGACCUAAGCCGAGGCCGAAAGGCGUAGGUGAUGGGCAACAGGUUGAGAUUCCUGUACCACCUCCUCACCGUUUGAGCAAUGGGGGGACGCAGGAAGGUAGGGCGAGCAGGCUGCUGGAAUAGCCUGUCCAAGCGGUUAGGCUGCCAGAUAGGCAAAUCCGUCUGGCAUAAAGGCUGAGCCGUGAUGGCGAAGGGACCAUCGGUCCCGAAGUCCCCGAUCCUACACUGCCAAGAAAAGCCUCUAGCGAGGUGAGAGGUGCCCGUACCGCAAACCGACACAGGUAGGCGAGGAGAGAAUCCUAAGGUGCGCGGGAGAACUCUCGUUAAGGAACUCGGCAAAAUGACCCCGUAACUUCGGGAGAAGGGGUGCUCGUUUGGGUGAAGAGCCCGAACGAGCCGCAGUGAAAAGGCCCAAGCGACUGUUUAUCAAAAACACAGGUCUCUGCGAAGCCGAAAGGCGACGUAUAGGGGCUGACACCUGCCCGGUGCUGGAAGGUUAAGGGGAGCGCUUAAGCCGCAAGGCUGAAGGUGCGAACCGAAGCCCCAGUAAACGGCGGCCGUAACUAUAACGGUCCUAAGGUAGCGAAAUUCCUUGUCGGGUAAGUUCCGACCCGCACGAAAGGUGUAACGACUUGGGCACUGUCUCAACGAGAGACCCGGUGAAAUCAUACUACCUGUGAAGAUGCAGGUUACCCGCGACAGGACGGAAAGACCCCGUGGAGCUUUACUGCAGCCUGAUAUUGAAUUUUGGUAUCGCUUGUACAGGAUAGGUGGGAGCCUGGGAAGCCGGAGCGCCAGCUUCGGUGGAGGCGCCGGUGGGAUACCACCCUGGCGAUAUUGAAAUUCUAACCCGCACCCCUUAGCGGGGUGGGAGACAGUGUCAGGCGGGCAGUUUGACUGGGGCGGUCGCCUCCCAAAAGGUAACGGAGGCGCCCAAAGGUUCCUUCAGAAUGGUUGGAAAUCAUUCGGAGAGUGCAAAGGCACAAGGGAGCUUGACUGCGAGACGGACAGGUCGAGCAGGGACGAAAGUCGGGCUUAGUGAUCCGGUGGUUCCGCA